GGAUAUUUAGCUUAGCGGCAUAAGCGCCUGCCUUGCAAGCAGGCAGUCGUGAGUUCGAUCCCCGGUACCG
rnacentral:tRNA from 1 species